GACAGAGGGUGCUAGCGUUGUUCGGAAUUACUGGGCGUAAAGGGCGCGUAGGCUGGUCUGUUGAAGUUCGUGUGAAACUCCCUGGCUCAACUGGGGGAACUGCGCUGAAACUGGCGGACUCGAGUACCGGAGGAGGAGAUGUGGAAGUUCCGUGGUGUAGCGGUGAAAUGCGUAGAUAGUCAGGAGGAACACCAAUGGGCGAAGGCAGGCUCGCUGGGACGUGACUGACGCUGAGACGCGAAAGCGUGGGGAGCAAACAGG
rnacentral:rRNA from 1 species